rnacentral:rRNA from 1 species
GCCAGACUCCUACGGGAGGCAGCAGUGGGGGAUAUUGCACAAUGGGGGAAACCCUGAUGCAGCGACGCCGCGUGGGCGAAGAAGUAUUUCGGUAUGUAAAGCCCUAUCAGCAGGGAAGAAGAAAUGACGGUACCUGAGUAAGAAGCACCGACUAAAUACGUGCCAGCAGCCGCGGUAAUACGUAUGGUGCAAGCGUUAUCCGGAUUUACUGGGUGUAAAGGGAGCGCAGGCGGCACGGCAAGCCUGAUGUGAAAGCCCGGGGCUCAACCCCGGGACUGCAUUUGGAACUGUAAGGCUAGAGUGUCGGAGAGGCAGGCGGAAUUCCUAGUGUAGCGGUGAAAUGCGUAGAUAUUAGGAGGAACACCAGUGGCGAAGGCGGCCUGCCGGACGAUGACUGACGUUGAGGCUCGAAAGCGUGGGGAGCAAACAGGAUUAGAUACCCGCGUACAC